rnacentral:rRNA from 1 species
CAGUCGCCGCGGUAAAACGGAGGGUGCAAGCGUUAUCCGGAUUUAUUGGGUUUAAAGGGUCCGUAGGCGGACUUAUAAGUCAGUGGUGAAAGCCUGUCGCUUAACGAUAGAACUGCCAUUGAUACUGUAAGUCUUGAGUAUAUUUGAGGUAGCUGGAAUAAGUAGUGUAGCGGUGAAAUGCAUAGAUAUUACUUAGAACACCAAUUGCGAAGGCAGGUUACCAAGAUAUAACUGACGCUGAGGGACGAAAGCGUGGGUAGCGAACAGGAUUAGAUACCCGAGUAGUCCCUGUCUCUUAACA